UACGUAGGGUGCAAGCGUUAAUCGGAAUUACUGGGCGUAAAGCGUGCGCAGGCGGUUAUAUAAGACAGUUGUGAAAUCCCCGGGCUCAACCUGGGAACUGCAUCUGUGACUGUAUAGCUAGAGUACGGUAGAGGGGGAUGGAAUUCCGCGUGUAGCAGUGAAAUGCGUAGAUAUGCGGAGGAACACCGAUGGCGAAGGCAAUCCCCUGGACCUGUACUGACGCUGAGGCACGAAAGCGUGGGGAGCAAACAGGG
rnacentral:rRNA from 1 species